ACCGUGCGCUUGCCGAAUCCCGUCCGCGGGAACCGGGGACCCGAGAACCUGGGGUGAAUCGGACGGCCGUGAGGCCGUUCGUAGGAGACCUUCCUGCUCCGAACCCGUCAGCUAACCCGGUAGGCGAGAAGGAAGGAAAGG
rnacentral:sRNA from 2 species